rnacentral:rRNA from 1 species
AUGAACGCUGGCGGCGUGCCUAACACAUGCAAGUCGAGCGGCAGCGAGGGGUGCUUGCACCCUGUCGGCGAGCGGCGGACGGCUGAGUAACGCGUGGGAACGUGCCCCAAAGUGAGGAAUAACUGCCCGAAAGGGUAGCUAAUACCGCAUAUUAUCUUCGGAUCAAAGGAUUUAUCCGCUUUGGGAGCGGCUCGCGUCGGACUAGGUAGUUGGUGAGGUAAUGGCUCACCAAGCCGACGAUCCGUAGCUGGUCUGAGAGGAUGACCAGCCAGACUGGAACUGAGACACGGUCCAGACUCCUACGGGAGGCAGCAGUGAGGAAUCUUCCACAAUGGGCGAAAGCCUGAUGGAGCAACGCCGCGUGCAGGACGAAGGCCUUCGGGUUGUAAACUGCUUUUAUAAGUGAGGAAUAUGACGGUAACUUAUGAAUAAGGAUCGGCUAACUACGUG